rnacentral:rRNA from 1 species
AACGAACGCUGGCGGCAGGCCUAACACAUGCACGUCGAGCGAGCGGCGGACGGGUGAGUAAUGUAUGGGGACUGCCCGAUAGCGGGGGAUCACUACUGGAAACGGUAGCUAAUACCGCAUACUAUCAGCUAACCCAUAUGGGAUGAGCUAGUGGGGGAGGUACUGGCUCACCUAGGCGACGAUCCCUAGCUGGUCUGAGAGGAUGAUCAGCCACACUGGGACUGAGACACGGCCCAGACGCCUACGGAGGCAGCAGUGGGGAAUAUUGCACAAUGGGCGCAAGCCUGAUGCAGCCAUGCCGCGUGUAUGAAGAAGUCUCUAGGGUUGUAAAGUACUUUCAGGCGGGAGGCGUUACCGACACAAGAAGCACCGGCUAACUCCGUGCCAGCAGCCGCGGUAAUAC